UCUUAGCCAAAAGGCCGAGAAA
rnacentral:snRNA from 1 species